rnacentral:lncRNA from 1 species
GUCGUUUUGUACCGGUUUCCCGAAGGACAAUAAAGUUUGGAAGUACAGUGUCCUGCUGGAACAAUGCAAUUAAAGCAAUUAAAUCAUUUCUGAAUCACCAGGCCUUUGCCUUUUGUCCUACCAAAUGUAAAGGACAGUUAUUAAAUACAGCAGCAACAUAACUGCCCAAAUGUAAGAAAAGCUCCAAACGGGAGGAGAUUUGAAGAUUUGGUGUAUCGAGCUUCUAUGGCUGCCGGCAGCACGAUGAAGCAGGGCUUGGCGCUGCUGCCUUGCCGUGCUGUGGCUGUUCUCCGCCCGUUCGCGUGGGUUUCCUCCGGGUGCUCCGGUUUCCUCCCACAGUCCGAAGACAUGCUGGUAAGUUAAUUGGCUUCUGUAAAAUUGGCCCUGGCCUGAGUGCAUGUGUGUGUGUGUUUGUGUGCCCUGUAGUGGACUGGCACCCCAUCCAGGGAGUAUCCUGUCUUUCAGACUUUCCCUGCAACACUGUAUUGGUUAAAGCAAUUUAGAAAAUAGAUGGUUGAAUUGAUGGAUGUACAAUACAGUAUGUAUUGCCUUAUCAUAUGGUCUUCUUGCAGAGGAGAGAGGACUGGGGUGCUGUUUACUUGUUGAUUUUGUCUUGUGCUGUUGUUCAGGUCACAUGUGCCA